rfam:Polaromonas sp. CG9_12 genome assembly, contig: scf7180000000016
CGCAGCUUGUCGGGGUGCCCAGGAUGUUUACAUCCGGGGCUGAGAUCGCAAUUUUGCGAGACCCGCUGAACCUGAUCGGGAUCAUCCCCGCGUAGGAAACAAGGCACUUUGGCUC